UACGUAGGCAGCAAGCGUUGUUCGGAAUUACUGGGCGUAAAGGGUGCGUAGGCGGUCGGGUAAGUCUGAUGUGAAAUCUCCGGGCUCAACCCGGAAAUGGCAUUGGAUACUAUUCGGCUCGAGGUCUGGAGGGGGGACUGGAAUACUUGGUGUAGCAGUGAAAUGCGUAGAUAUCAAGUGGAACACCAGUGGCGAAGGCGAGUCCCUGGACAGAUCCUGACGCUGAGGCACGAAAGCUAGGGGAGCAAACAGG
rnacentral:rRNA from 1 species